AAGAUAAGAUCAGUCUUGAUACCUAACAGAGCUUAUGUACUAGUUACUGUUUUUCUCCUGUAGAUAUUCAUAAAGCAUUAAGCUAAACAUUAAUAAUAAUUAAUUAUAUAUUCUUAGCUAUACUAAUGUACAAGAACUACAAUUCCUUAAGUGUACAAUAUCAAAGGAAAAUUCAUUUCAAUUAAUGUAGUGAAUUGUUUUGUCAGAAUAUAACAUUUACUAACAAAAAUCAGUUAAUAACCAUUGCAUCUAUUUUUUUAGCACUUUUCCACUUUAAUUCUUCUCUUACAUAAUUUCUAUUAUAUUUCUUCCCUGUACAAAAACCUGUCAUAGUUACUAAACUAUUCAAUGAACUUCUAGGCCCAGUAUUCUAUAAUUUUAUUUCAUCAUUCACCAAUGUAAACUUGACAUUCUCGUAGGGCCAGUCCUCGCAUAUUCUCUGAACUCAUACAUACUUUCUCAAGUCCUUUUCACUGUUACAAGAUCAUAUUUACCUCUAAAUUCAUACUCACUGUUACAAGAUCAUGUUUACCUCUAAAUCCAUUGCCUUCAUAAACAUCUGCCCAACAAUUUUCUCCCAAUCCUGACUUGUCAUAAUUACUAUCUCACUAAGUAAAUCCCUUUUAUCAUUUAAUGUUUCAGAAAUACAAUUUACCAAUAUGGUUUGAAACUGUUCGCUAUAACCAGAUCAUAUAUAUUUUUAUACCCCUGCAAGAUGAACACUAAUUUUCCAAAUGAAUUUUCGCCUAUUCAAGUGUUUUUCACAAGUCAUAUGAUAAAAAUAAUUUACCAGUCUACCAAGAGAGUUACAUUUAGGACUAAAGCUGACCUAUUGCACAAAGUCUAGAACUCAUAUUAAACUCAAUACAUUUAGAUUCUUGCCAAAGGUACUUAAUCUAGGCAGAAGGAUAAUAAUGCUCUCAUUUUUACUGAUUCUACAGAAAUCUUUUUACUAAAUUUGAUGUAUUGCUAUAAAAGUAUUUUUAAAUAUCUAGUUGUCUUCUUUAUGAGAAAGAAAUUCUUAAAAGAAAGCUACUAUAUUUUCUUUAUAAAAAUCAUAAAUAGAAGUCUUAGGCAUGCCUAAAACAGUUUUAAUAAAUUGCGUUUUGACUCAAGUACUAUUUGUUUCCCCAGAUCAUCUGUCUUUUUUUUGGUGGUACUGAGGUUUGAACUCAGGGCCUCGGGCUUACUAGGUCAAUAUUCUAUCAAUGGAGCCAUGUUCCAGCCUCUCCAGAGCAUCUUGUUAUAGAUCAUUUCUGAAUACAAAACUAGUAAAAACUCUGCAGACAUAUGUAUUACUCUACCUCCAUGACAACAGAAGAUUUUCUCAUCCACAAUGGCAGCUAUAGGCAGACAGUUAAAACAAUCAGUGAAGGUCUU